rnacentral:tRNA from 1 species
GGGGUUGUAGCCCAGUGGUUAGAGCGUCGGACUCGCAACUUGAAGGUCGGAGGUUCGAUUCCCGAUCCCA